GACGAACGCUGGCGGCGUGCUUAACACAUGCAAGUCGAACGGUGAAGCUCCAGCUUGCUGGAGUGGAUCAGUGGCGAACGGGUGAGUAACACGUGAGCAACCUGCCCCUGACUCUGGAAUAAGCGCUGGAAACGGCGUCUAAUACUGGAUAUGAGAAGGGUCCGCAUGGACACUUUCUGGAAAGUUUUUCGGUUGGGGAUGGGCUCGCGGCCUAUCAGCUUGUUGGUGAGGUAAUGGCUCACCAAGGCGACGACGGGUAGCCGGCCUGAGAGGGCGACCGGCCACACUGGGACUGAGACACGGCUCAGACUCCUACGGGAGGCAGCAGUGGGGAAUAUUGCACAAUGGGCGAAAGCCUGAUGCAGCGACGCCGCGUGAGGGAUGACGGCCUUCGGGUUGUAAACCUCUUUCAGCAGGGAAGAAGCGAAAGUGACGGUACCUGCAGAAGAAGCACCGGCUAACUACGUG
rnacentral:rRNA from 1 species